rnacentral:rRNA from 1 species
AACGUAGGAGACAAACGUUAUCCGGAGUUACUGGGCGUAAAGGGCGUGUAGGCGGUUUGUUAAGUCUGGCGUGAAAGCUCUCGGCUAAACCGGGAGAGGUCGUUGGAUACUGGCGAACUAGAGGAUGGUAGAGGCGUGUGGAAUUCCGGGUGUAGUGGUGAAAUGCGUAGAGAUCCGGAGGAACACCAGUGGCGAAGGCGACACGCUGGGCCAUACCUGACGCUAAAGCGCGACAGCAUGGGGGAGCAAACGGG